GAUGAACGCUAGCGACAGGCCUAACACAUGCAAGUCGAGGGGCAGCACGGUGUAGCAAUACACGGGUGGCGACCGGCGCACGGGUGAGUAACGCGUAUGCAACCUGCCUACUACAAGGGGAUAACCCGUUGAAAGACGGACUAAUACCCUAUAACACAGGGAAUCCGCAUGGAUAUAUUUGUUAAAGAUUUAUCGGUAGUAGAUGGGCAUGCGUUCCAUUAGCUUGUUGGUGAGGUAACGGCUCACCAAGGCAACGAUGGAUAGGGGAACUGAGAGGUUGAUCCCCCACACUGGAACUGAGACACGGUCCAGACUCCUACGGGAGGCAGCAGUGAGGAAUAUUGGUCAAUGGACGAGAGUCUGAACCAGCCAAGUCGCGUGAAGGAAGGCGGCCCUACGGGUUGUAAACUUCUUUUGUAAGGGAAUAAAUAGUCUUACGCGCUAAGACGUUGCAGGUACCUUACGAAUAAGGAUCGGCUAACUCCGUGCCAGCAGCCGCGGUAAUCAUA
rnacentral:rRNA from 1 species